rnacentral:rRNA from 1 species
CAGUCGCCACGGUAAUACGUAGGUGGCAAGCGUUGUCCGGAAUUAUUGGGCGUAAAGCGCACGUAGGCGGUUAUUCAAGUCAGAGGUGAAAGCCCGGGGCUCAACCCCGGAACUGCCUUUGAAACUAGAUGACUGGAAUCUCGGAGAGGUCAGUGGAAUUCCGAGUGUAGAGGUGAAAUUCGUAGAUAUUCGGAAGAACACCAGUGGCGAAGGCGACUGACUGGACAAGUAUUGACGCUGAGGUGCGAAAGCGUGGGGGUCAAACAGGAUUAGAUACCCCUGUAGUCCCUGUCUCUUAUAC